ACGGACUCUGACUCCGUCAGUUCAAGGUUCGAAUCCUUGUAGCCCUG
rnacentral:tRNA from 1 species